AUUGAACGCUGGCGGCGUGCCUAACACAUGCAAGUCGAGCGGUAACAGGUGUAGCAAUACAUGCUGACGAGCGGCGGACGGGUGAGUAACGCUUGGGAAUCUGCCUGUUAGUGGGGGACAACCCGGGGAAACUCGGGCUAAUACCGCAUACGCACUACGGUGGAAAGCCGGGGACCGCAAGGCCUGGCGCUAACAGAUGAGCCCAAGUCGGAUUAGCUAGUUGGUAGGGAACGGCCUACCAAGGCGACGAUCCGUAACUGGUCUGAGAGGACGACCAGUCACACCGGAACUGAGACACGGUCCGGACUCCUACGGGAGGCAGCAGUGGGGAAUAUUGGACAAUGGGCGAAAGCCUGAUCCAGCGACGCCGCGUGGGUGAAGAAGGCCUGCGGGUGUAAAGCCCUUUCAGUGGGGAAGAAAAGCCUCGAGUUAAUACCUCGGGGUCUUGACGUAA
rnacentral:rRNA from 1 species